rnacentral:tRNA from 1 species
GCGCCCGUAGCUCAAUUGGAUAGAGUAUGUGGCUUCGGACCACAGGGUUGCAGGUUCGAUCCCUGCCGGGCGCA